UUCAUUUGUUGAGGUUAGGUUAAGGGGAAUGUUGUCUGGCUCGAGGUAAUUUUUCGUUUUAAUACUAAAAUAAUCUCGGACCAGGCUUCAUCCCCCUCAACGCACCAACACUACUUGCUCU
rnacentral:pre_miRNA from 1 species